AAACACUUGAGUUGGACAGAAAAACUUAAAAGCUGGAGACUGUGUGGAAAAUAGUUGAUUUGCUCUGAGAAGCACUUUUGAAAGAUGUACACAUUCAUUACUGAGUUACUGAGAGGGUUCUGGGACAGGUAAACAUCACACCUGCAUGGUUCACCUGUCCCACAGGUGUUGACAUAAUCACCUGAGCAGGUGUAAGUGAGCAGGUGUGUUGUUCAUGUUGAUGUUGAGUUUUGUGUUUUUGUUCUGCGGGCGGUUGUCAGGCCACUGCUCAUGGCUCACUUUCCUCCCGGCUUUGAAACAGCUGUGGUUGCACAAACAUGAGGGGUGGUUGGGACAAGGGGCUGGAGCUGGGGCCACCCGGGCUGUGGUUGCACAGACAACAGGGCUGAAAGGUUGAAAAGGGAGGGGCAUGUUAAACAUGGAGCACUCGGGCCACAAACAUGGAUAGGUCUGGGGACUGGGUUUGCCUCAAAGCCUUCAUCACCAAUGCAGUUAUUUGAGCUGGUCGAAGCUCUAUGUUUCUGUCUUAGAGAGAAGAGAUGCUGCUACAGUGAGCGUAGUUCAGCGCCCAAAAGUGGUACAUGUGGCCUUGCACAGAGCAAACUUGUUACGAAAACAAAACAUGGCAGAUCUGGACAUGUGCCACAUGGACUCAGCUCAAUUAGACAGAUUUUGUACAAGUGUUGAAAUGAAGAGUAAAUAGAAGGGAACCAUGGAUAUCAGUUUUCCCCCUAAAUAAAUGUACCUGGAAAAAGCUGCUGUAAAGUUAUAUUGUCUUAUUGAAAAUGUUUGCAAUAAUUAUGGUGUUUAUCUGUCUAUGUUCGUAUUUAAGGUUUUUUGUAUACUUGUCUAGUCAUAUAUUUAGAUAUCAAGACAAUAAUAAGGUUUUGUUGAGCACAGGGUUAUGUUUUAGUGGUCAUAAGAAGUAUUGAUAUUAUAUCUCUGCUGUUUAUUUCAAUGAUGCUUGAUCAAUA